rnacentral:rRNA from 1 species
GCUUACGGCCAUACCACCCUGAAUGCGCCUGAUCUCGUCUGAUCUCGGAAUUUAAGCAGGGUCAGGCCUGGUUAGUACUUGGAUGGGAGAACGCCUGGGAAUACCAGGUGCUGUAAGGU